rnacentral:lncRNA from 1 species
AGCCAUGCAGCUGCCAUUUUGGAUCUGAGAGAGUUGGCCAUGCAGCAGCGUUUCGGAUCCGAGAGCUGGCCAUGCAGCAGCCAUUAAGGAUCCAAGAGUCGGUCAUGUAGCAGCCAUUUCGGAUCUGAGAGAGUCGGCCAUGCAGCAGCCGUUUGGGAUCUGAGAGUCGGCCAUGCAGCAGCCGUUUGGGAUCUGAGAGAGUCGGCCAUGCAGCAGCCAUUUGUGCAUGCUUCCCUUCUCCCAGCCCCACAGGAGACUGACUCUGCAUCCUGCCUCCUUUCAAAUGCAUCCUGUGCCAACAGUUUCUGAAAACGGAUAAACAAAUUGACAACCUCAAAUGCAAAGAUGAAACAUUUCUCCAGAUCAUCAGGCACAUGGUUUACUCAGGCCCAGAGGAGUGAGCUGAUAUAAAGAAGCUGUGCCACACAGUCGGAUGGGGUCCGAAGGAAACAAUAGGGCUGAGUGAUGAGUAUUGAAGAAGAAAUCUAAAGAAAGAAUGUCUUAUCAGCUGACCGCAAAGCUGCCUCCUUCUACCUGGCCACAUUGCUUAUCUAUUGUACUGCGUCUCUCUUGGAUGGAAACGAUACACCAAUCACUCAUAAGUGAAUAAUUUCCUUCUAAAUCACAGGCCUACACCUGAGGUGGCUGCCACAGGUGUAACCUGUUUAGACCAGCAAUUAUAUUUACUCCAUGAUGACAGAAAACAGGAAAGAUGUAUCAUACAGUGCAUUUGCUCCUGCUAUUUAUAAAUAGACCUCUUUACAUUAGCACUACAUAUGACUGUCUCAUCCACUUAUCAGCAAUUUAAUAUAUCACAGACAACAUGGGUUAAAAGCAAAAUAAGUUUCAAACACUAACCUCAGUUUACUCAUAAAUAUUUCACUUCUACAAACCUUGUUUAUUCAAGCUAUGGUUCUAUACAAAUUGGCAAGUCAUUCUUUAUUUUACUUUUCUGUGGUUCUAGACCCUUCUAGACUAAAGAUCUCUGACUUUACUGCUGCCUUUUCUAGAUGUUUUCCUGAGUACACAUGUGAGCUUAUUGUUAACAUCAGUCUCUUUCCCUUUAAGAACUGGUUUUUUUCUGAUGGCUGUGGUCUAAGAGAGCUCACUCUGGAUUUCUCUCUGUUAGUUUUCUAACAUAACCCACAGUGAUAAAUCUAUUUUAUGUUGGGAAUAAGGGAAUAUUUAUACGUAAAGUCAAACAAAAUUGAAGUUUACUUAUGCUUUUUUGCACUUUGAUAUUUUCUAUAUAUUCUGCCAUGUUCCCUAAUAUUCUCUGUUAUUCUAUUUUAUUUUUAAGAAAAUGAUUGGUCUCUACCCUCACAAUGAUUCUGCAAUCCACUGUGGGAACAUGACGCACAGCCUCGAGCCACUGUGGGAGCUUCCUCAUCAGAAGGGAGGGGUACCAGGGGGUGUGGUGAUGUGGCCCUAGGUGCGGGAAUUUCCAAAAGGGAAGCUCUGGUAGCAGCCUCUCAUCUAUAGUAUCAUAUUUUCAGUGUCAUCGUAACGCAGAGAAGUAGAAGAUUCAAGACUUUGGAAAACAGCCAUUUUCUCUCAAUUACAAGAAUAAUAACAGUAUUUGAAAGAUCCUAAAAGUGGUGAAGAUGGAGUAAGUGUUUGGUAGGGAAUCCCUGCCCUGGCUGAUCAUUAUGUCUGCCUUGGCUGUACAUGUGAUCUUGGUGGCAUUUCUGGACUAUCACCCAGAGAGGUGGGUUAAGACUGGUUAAGACCGCAGAGUCAGACCGCUUGGAGUUGAAUCCUGACACCACCGCAUUCUAGCUGUGUGACUUUAGAAAGUCCCUUAGCCUCUAUGAAAUUUAGUUUGCUCAAUCAGAAAAAGAGAAUAAUGACACUGUUCAUCUUACAGAAUUGUUGCAAGGAUUAAAUAAACUAUCAGAU